rnacentral:rRNA from 1 species
CCUACGGGUGGCAGCAGUGAGGAAUAUUGGUCAAUGGCCGAGAGGCUGAACCAGCCAAGUCGCGUGAGGGAAGACGGCCCUACGGGUUGUAAACCUCUUUUGUCGGGGAGCAAAGCGAGUCACGUGUGACUCAUUGAGAGUACCCGAAGAAAAAGCCUCGGCUAACUCCGUGCCAGCAGCCGCGGUAAUAAGGAGGAUGCGAGCGUUAUCCGGAUUUAUUGGGUUUAAAGGGUGCGCAGGCGGAGGUGCACGUCAGGGGUAAAAUUGCGGGGCUCAACCCCGUACUGCCGUUGACACUGCAUCCCUAGAGUGUGCGAGAAGUAUGCGGAAUGCGUGGUGUAGCGGUGAAAUGCAUAGAGAUCACGCAGAACUCCGAUUGCGAAGGCAGCAUACCGGCGCGCAACUGACGCUCAUGCACGAAAGCGUGGGUAUCGAACAGGAUUAGAUACCCCUGUAGUC